rnacentral:lncRNA from 1 species
AGAUUCCUGUUUCUGCAUUGCAAUGUGAAGUGUUCCUGAAUAAACCUGCUUGAAGAAGGACAUCGUGGUGUUGUGUCUUUCCAGCAGGUCUGGGUGGAUGUGACAAGUAGUGGAACCUGUAAGGAGACUUCUGCUUUUCGAGAGCGCUGCGGGUCCAGAACUUCAAGAGGUCAGGGUAGCCGGCUGGAAAGCUCCCAGGUCCCAUACCUGAUGACACUCUGGAGCCAGAGGUGCAGAAAAGCUAAACAAAGGCAGAGCCAAGUUGAUAAAACUGUUUUUAUAAGACUCCAGUUGUUGGUGGCCCUGAACCACCUUGUACAGCUCCAGACACACAAGGCCAACUAUAGCAGAUGUGGUGGUUGCAAUGGCUGGGAUGAUCUUGCCUGCAAUCAGUUUGCUCUGUAAGACAGUGACCACCAGGGAUUACUGUAUAGGAGGAAGUAGGGGUCUACAGAAGGCCCAAAUGAAGGAAAAUCAGUUUGGGCAAGGGUCAGUCGUACAUCACAGACUCCUAUUACCUUAUGCCGGUCUGCUGGGGAAAUGCCAUAGUUUUCUGCUCGGAGGUUGGAUGCUGCCACAAUGAAAUCCAUGUGAAAGUUGCUGUCGUCAUCCUGUUUUGUUUUGGUUUUUUUUUUUUUUUUUUGGAGUGGAGAAUUAAGAGAGUGAAUGUCUACUCAGGAUACCAGUGUCUCCCCCAACUAUGUACUGCUAACUCCGAUGACCAUAUGGAGUAAAUGGAUGCAGGUGUUUUCAAUUUUGUUGUUGUUGUUUAAGUCAAAUAUAAUCAUUACAAUUC